GGACCCGCACAAGCGGUGGAUGAUGUGGUUUAAUUCGAUGCAACGCGAAAAACCUUACCCACCUUUGACAUGGCAGGAAGUUACCAGAGAUGGUUUCGUGCUCGAAAGAGAACCUGCACACAGGUGCUGCAUGGCUGUCGUCAGCUCGUGUCGUGAGAUGUUGGGUUAAGUCCCGCAACGAGCGCAACCCUUGCCAUUAGUUGCUACGAAAGGGCACUCUAAUGGGACUGCCGGUGACAAACCGGAGGAAGGUGGGGAUGACGUCAAGUCCUCAUGGCCCUUAUAGGUGGGGCUACACACGUCAUACAAUGGCCGGUACAAAGGGUCGCAAACCCGCGAGGGGGAGCCAAUCCAUCAAAGCCGGUCGUAGUCCGGAUCGCAGUCUGCAACUCGACUGCGUGAAGUCGGAAUCGCUAGUAAUCGUGGAUCAGCAUGUCACGGUGAAUACGUUCCCGGGUCUU
rnacentral:rRNA from 1 species